AAAUUGAAGAGUUUGAUCAUGGCUCAGAUUGAACGCUGGCGGCAGGCCUAACACAUGCAAGUCGAACGGUAACAGGAAGCAGCUUGCUGCUUUGCUGACGAGUGGCGGACGGGUGAGUAAUGUCUGGGAAACUGCCUGAUGGAGGGGGAUAACUACUGGAAACGGUGGCUAAUACCGCAUAACGUCGCAAGACCAAAGAGGGGGACCUUCGGGCCUCUUGCCAUCAGAUGUGCCCAGAUGGGAUUAGCUAGUUGGUGAGGUAACGGCUCACCAAGGCGACGAUCCCUAGCUGGUCUGAGAGGAUGACCAGCCACACUGGAACUGAGACACGGUCCAGACUCCUACGGGAGGCAGCAGUGGGGAAUAUUGCACAAUGGGCGCAAGCCUGAUGCAGCCAUGCCGCGUGUAUGAAGAAGGCCUUCGGGUUGUAAAGUACUUUCAGCGGGGAGGAAGGUGUUGUGGUUAAUAACCGCAGCAAUUGACGUUACCCGCAGAAGAAGCACCGGCUAACUCCGUGCCAGCAGCCGCGGUAAUACGGAGGGUGCAAGCGUUAAUCGGAAUUACUGGGCGUAAAGCGCACGCAGGCGGUCUGUCAAGUCGGAUGUGAAAUCCCCGGGCUCAACCUGGGAACUGCAUUCGAAACUGGCAGGCUUGAGUCUUGUAGAGGGGGGUAGAAUUCCAGGUGUAGCGGUGAAAUGCGUAGAGAUCUGGAGGAAUACCGGUGGCGAAGGCGGCCCCCUGGACAAAGACUGACGCUCAGGUGCGAAAGCGUGGGGAGCAAACAGGAUUAGAUACCCUGGUAGUCCACGCCGUAAACGAUGUCUACUUGGAGGUUGUGCCCUUGAGGCGUGGCUUCCGGAGCUAACGCGUUAAGUAGACCGCCUGGGGAGUACGGCCGCAAGGUUAAAACUCAAAUGAAUUGACGGGGGCCCGCACAAGCGGUGGAGCAUGUGGUUUAAUUCGAUGCAACGCGAAGAACCUUACCUGGUCUUGACAUCCACAGAAGUUUUCAGAGAUGAGAAUGUGCCUUCGGGAACCGUGAGACAGGUGCUGCAUGGCUGUCGUCAGCUCGUGUUGUGAAAUGUUGGGUUAAGUCCCGCAACGAGCGCAACCCUUAUCCUUUGUUGCCAGCGGUUAGGCCGGGAACUCAAAGGAGACUGCCAGUGAUAAACUGGAGGAAGGUGGGGAUGACGUCAAGUCAUCAUGGCCCUUACGACCAGGGCUACACACGUGCUACAAUGGCGCAUACAAAGAGAAGCGACCUCGCGAGAGCAAGCGGACCUCAUAAAGUGCGUCGUAGUCCGGAUUGGAGUCUGCAACUCGACUCCAUGAAGUCGGAAUCGCUAGUAAUCGUGGAUCAGAAUGCCACGGUGAAUACGUUCCCGGGCCUUGUACACACCGCCCGUCACACCAUGGGAGUGGGUUGCAAAAGAAGUAGGUAGCUUAACCUUCGGGAGGGCGCUUACCACUUUGUGAUUCAUGACUGGGGUGAAGUCGUAACAAGGUAACCGUAGGGGAACCUGCGGUUGGAUCACCUCCUUA
rnacentral:rRNA from 1 species